AUGAAAUCAAUCAAUUCCCCUGUCCCCGCAGGGCUCCGGGCGGCCGUGACCCUGCUGGAGUGCGGGGGGGACCUCCAGCCCCCCGGGGGGUCCCUGCGCCUCCUCUGCCGAGGGGCCGGGUUUGAUUUCGGGAGUUUUGGUGCACAGUGGAUCCGCCAGAGACCCGGGCAGGGGCUGGAGUGGCUUGCAGGGAUUGACAGAAGUGGCAGCGCCGCGUACGCGCCGUCGCUCCAGGGCCGGGUCACGAUCUCCAGGGACAACGGGCAGAGCUCGGUGACGCUGACCAUGACCGACCUCCGGGACGAGGAUUCCGGCGUCUAUUUCUGCGGGAAAUGUUAUUUUGCUGGUUGCAAUUACGAAGCUUAUGGUACUGACGUUGGUUUCGGCCCUGCCUUUGCUCUUGGGAUCCCAAAUGUCCCCAGAGCCCUGACCCUGCCCCCAAACCUCCCCCAUGGACUCGGCUCGGGACCCUCUGUCCCCAUCUGCCCCAAGGGCCAGCACUGACCCCAAACCCUCGCC